rnacentral:misc_RNA from 1 species
GUUUCCAGCACUGAUGAGCUCCUGAUUUGACAUUUCUGAUGCCAUCUGAACGUUUUCCUCUGCUGUUGGUUCACUUCCACCUGCUCCCAUAUCAAAUAGUUCAACCCUCUUAUUGCCAAGACUGCUCAUAUACGUUUUUCUCAAGGCCACAUAUGAGUUUAGCUCUUUGAUCAUUGAUUGCUUCUCAUCAUUGAGUUGUUUGUUGACCUCGGGAGGACUUUUACUCUCCUCGUCUUUAAUUUCACGAUCAAACUCUUUAACUAACCUUUUGCACUCUCUCAUCUUUCCAGUAAGUUCUUCCAACUGUUUACUCUGUCUAUUGGAAUCUUUGAUCUUAUCCAGCUUUUGAAAUCCAUUUGCUAGAGCUCGGAAAUUAUCCCGAAUCUCUCCAUGGAUCUGUUCCAUCUGUGGGUUCAUUUGUAAGUCCAAAUUCGCCAUUUUUUGAGCAAUCGUUAUCCCCUUUUUUCUCUUCUUCUUCCUUCACCGCCGGUUAGAACCCAAACGAAUUCUUCACCGGCAAAUCAAAUUACAAACACCCAACUCCCCAAAACUCAAAAUUUCACGGAAUUCAUCCCAUUUUACUCCAAAAAAAACUGAAAUUGAAAACUGAAGGUUCUAAAGAUGGAAAGAUUAAGAUUUUAUAGGGUUUUUUUGACAAGGAACAAAACCCAAAGAGGGGAAAAUUGGAUUUGGGAUGGUUUUUAGGGUUCUUGAAGAGAAAAAAAAAAA